CCAAGUCCGCCACAGUGUCAGACGUCCACUCCUCCUCCAAGUCCGGCACAACCUCAGGCCACUCCUCCUCGUCCAACUCAGCCCCGUCAGCCGUCUCCGCCGCCUCAGCAAUCGCAGAAGAGACACCCCGCAGCUAUGGUGCGUAGCGGUACGAGUCGAGGUAGUACAGGAAGUACAGGCGGAGGCAAGCGAUAUAAAUAUGGACCAAGCCUCAAGCCUCUUCCGCAGAGGUCUUAUGACAGGUCCGAAGAGGAAAUCACAGCCAUAUCGAAGGCCGAGGUGGAAGCCCAUUUUGCACCGAAACCGCCACCGUCGCCAAGGGAGAAAGUGCCUGAGGAAACGAUUGACCACUUCAUUCGUAUGGCUCAACCACCAGCUCCCAAGCCUGUUGACAUAGACUAUGAGCGCCACAUUAGGAAGUUAAAUCGAGCACGUCUACAAAGGGAGGCGAGCACGUCUACAUCGGGAUCG
rnacentral:rRNA from 1 species